rnacentral:rRNA from 1 species
UUUAUCUUUUUUUAGGGCGGGUAACGAGCCCCCCCAAAGGGCAAAGCUGGUAUAAGGGGAAUUUGAAAGGUUUUUUUCCCCCCCCACUGGUUACUGAAUAACGGAACCCAAAAUUCUAUGGGGAAGGCCGCCUUGAGGAAAUAUGGGUCAACAGACGAAAGUUUGAACCACCCACUUGGGCUGAAGAAAGACGGCCCUAGGGUUGGAAACUUUUUUUAUACGGGAAUAAAGUGCCCAAGGGUGGGGGUUUGCAAGUACCGUACGAAUAAGGAUCGGCUAACUCCGUGCCAGCAGCCGCGGUAAUACGGAGGAUCCGAGCGUUAUCCGGAUUUAUUGGGUUUAAAGGGUGCUCAGGCGGGGGAUUAAGUCGGCGGUGAAAUUUUGCAGCUCAACUGUAAAAGUGCCUUCGAAACUGGUUUCCUUGAGUGCGGAUGAGGUAGGCGGAAUUUGUGGUGUAGCGGUGAAAUGCAUAGAUAUCACGAGGAACUCCGAUUGCGCAGGCAGCUUACCAAGCCGUAACUGACGCUCAAGCACGAAGGCGUGGGGAUCAAACAGGAUUAGAUACCCUGGUAGUCCACGCAGUAAACGAUGAUUACUGGCUGUUUGCGAUAUAAUGUAAGCGGCUGAGCGAAAGCGUUAAGUAAUCCACCUGGGGAGUACGUUCGCAAGAAUGAAACUCAAAGGAAUUGACGGGGGCCCGCACAAGCGGAGGAACAUGUGGUUUAAUUCGAUGAUACGCGAGGAACCUUACCCGGGCUUGAAAUGCAUCUGGUGUCCCGAGAGAUCGGGAUUUCCCACGGGACAGAUGCGUAGGUGCUGCAUGGUUGUCGUCAGCUCGUGCCGUGAGGUGUCGGCUUAAGUGCCAUAACGAGCGCAACCCCUACCGUUAGUUGCCAUCAGGUCAAGCUGGGGACUCUAACGGGACUGCCAUCGUAAGGUGCGAGGAAGGUGGGGAUGACGUCAAAUCAGCACGGCCCUUACGUCCGGGGCGACACACGUGUUACAAUGGGUGGUACAAAGGGCAGCUACAUGGCGACAUGGUGCCAAUCUCCAAAACCACUCUCAGUUCGGAUCGGAGUCUGCAACUCGACUCCGUGAAGCUGGAUUCGCUAGUAAACGGGCAUCAGCCACGGCGCGGUGAAUACGAUCCCGGGCCUUGUACACACCGCCCUAAGGGCGAAUACGCGCCCGCCUUCCCGCC